rnacentral:rRNA from 1 species
GACGAACCGUGCGAACGUUGUUCGGAAUCACUGGGCUUAAAGGGCGCGUAGGCGGGUGUGCAAGUCUGUGGUGAAAGCCUCCAGCUUAACUGGAGAAGUGCCGUGGAUACUGCACAUCUUGAGGAGGGUAGGGGCAUCUGGAACGGUCGGUGGAGCGGUGAAAUGCGUUGAUAUCGACCGGAACUCCGGUGGCGAAGGCGAGGUGCUGGACCCUUCUGACGCUGAGGCGCGAAAGCCAGGGGAGCAAACAGG